ACGGAGGAGACGGAUUGCGGAGUCGAAACAGAGGAGUCGGAGGGUGGAGUCGCGACUCCGAGUCGGAGGGCGGAGUGGAAACAAAGGACACGGAGGGCGGAGUCGAGACGGACGGAGGAGACGGAGUGCGGAGUCGAGACGGAGGGCGGAGUUGCGACUGAAAAGACGAAAUCACCAAAGGAGCCAUGAGAAGGUUGAGCUGCUUCAUACAAGACUUAGAAUGGAGUAACAAGACGGACGAGCGCAGACGGUGGCUUCAAGAUAGGAGAUCUUCUUGUGUUCCAUACAUUGCUCAGAUGAAAAAACAAGGAGAAAAAAUUCAAAAUUUGAAUCUAGAUCUAAGAUCUGCAGAGAGAAUUCUCUCUCUACAUUUUAUCGUAUUCUCUACUUAUACAUAGUUUUAUAUAAGGUUUUGACAUAAAGCUAGAGAGGUAUAUAUAUACACAUAGAUACACAUAUAUACAAUUGCUUCUAGAUGUUAGAGAGAGAGAAGGAGAGUUGAACUUAUAAUUGCUUCUAGAUGUGAGUUGGUGGGAAGGAUUUGAAUGAGUAGUAGUGUAUGGUGGCCUU
rnacentral:lncRNA from 1 species